GGGCAUGGUAGUAGCAUUUUGUAGACAAUUCCUUAAUGACAUGCUUUAGUUUAAAAGUGUCAGGAAAGAGAGAAUAUGGGAAUUCCAAGAUGGCCGCGAAUAGAGUGCAUCACACCCCGUGUACCGCAACACUGCGCAGGUGAAUAACGAGUUAGAACGACAAAAAGCUAUUUUGUCAGGAAUUUACAGCAAAAUCGGGGUGCACCGAAACUUAGAGGAAGGAUUUCCAUCACCGAGGUCCGAUUAUUGAGUCUCAAACAUGAGACAACUGUGCGACCGGAGAUCCAGGCUGACUGAUCCCCUGCUCGCCAUGCGGUCCGCCCCACGGCUACAGACAGCGGGGUGCUGCCGAGAAGCGACCAGCAAGCAGAGAGAAAUGGUGCUAUGUAUUCUGUGGAGUCCUGCCGGCUGUGCCCUCACUGAGCUCUGGGCUGAGUUCGGGGUUUGAGAUGGGGAAGGAAGCGGUCCAGUUCUAUCCCCCACAAUGGAAAGUCCACCAAGGAAGCCAGCGGCCACCAUCUUGGAGAGCAGAGGACACCACCGCCAGUUUCCGACAGAUUGCAACAAUAAAACAGGUGUGUGUUACUCAGCCCAUCUCCCAUACAGUGGGGAAUUCGUAUAAAAUCUCUCCCAGGCUUUCCGGGGGAGGGAUUAUCAGAAUGAGCCUGCAUAGAGUCACAGGGAAAGGUAGAAACACCUGACCUCCAACUCCCCCUCCCAUCAGCGGCGAAAACGAAACCUGUCUUGCCAGCUCUGGGGGAGGGGCAAGCGGAAAAAAUCAAAACAAUAGGGUGCCGAUUCCCAAUAGCCACCCUCCACACCCAGCAAACCGCAGGCCCAGAGUACAGUUUGAACUGCCGAGAGGCAUCACACAGGGGAAGGCCAGGCUAGCAGGAGAAGCCAGGG
rnacentral:lncRNA from 1 species